AAGCUUCUGUGUAAGAUUUAGAAUAAAAUAGCAUCCCCAAGAAGAAUAAAAAAUAAAAUUUCAUACAGAACAAAACGAUGAUGCAUAACCUGUAUCAGGAGGAAAAAAUAUUAUUAAAACGCCGGAAGAUGCUGGGUACGUGUGGUAAAUAAUCAAAGCAAAACCGGCAUGAACAACAUCAGGUUAAUCGGAAUUCGCGUGAGAGCAGAUGAGAGCCUUCCACAGCACUGUACGCGUGAGUUGUGAGACGAUCUGGCGGAAGCUUUUUUCGAUGCUAUCCCGAACGAUCCGAACGGCGCCCGAGAAGAAGCUUUCGGAAGCCGAAGAUGAGCAUUACACAUCAGGAAUCGUGGAUGCUGGAGCCUACGCAGUGAGCGUAGCCAUUCCUAACACACAACUGACACCGACCGGAGCCGUCAGUUCAACGAGAUCCUUUCGGCAGUUAGGACGCGCGGUUCUCGUCUGUUCCGAUUCUUGUGGCUCGGUGUUUGUAGUUGAAGGUUUGCUGUUUUGCUGGGAAAUUGUGUGUGAAUCGCUUCUCCCAAGCUAGUGCAAACUGUUUAUCAAAAAAAAAUUGUUUAAAGUGCAAUUGAUUUGAAUUAAAAAAAAGUUGUUUGAGUUAGUAGCUGUUUAACGAUGUGUAAGUGAAGUAAGUUAGUAUUAUAUUACAAGAAUUUGACCAAGCAAAAGAUUAUACUGGUGAAGUGCAAGUGCAUGUGAGUGUAGCAUGGAAAUCGCCAGUGUAAUGGAUAACAUGAUGAAAACCAGCAUGGGACUUCAUGAUGAUCGGUCCAGUCGAAAUAGCAACAGCAGCAGUUCCGGUUCGCCCACAGUAGUACACGAGAAAAAGAAAAUGCUGGACAUAACACGAGACCGACCCAUCAAAAUCGCAGUUCGAGUACAAGUUCCUGUUCGAGAUCAUCCAAAGUUUAACUUUGUCGGUAAACUACUUGGCCCAAAAGGAAAUUCGCUCAAACGGCUGCAGGAAGAAACGAUGUGCAAAAUGGCCGUGCUAGGCAAGGGAUCGAUGCGCGACCGAAAGAAGGAAGAGGAGCUACGACUCAGCGGUGAUCCACGGUACGCGCAUCUAUCCGAGGACCUUCACGUGGAAAUCUCGACCUACACCGCACCGGCGGAAGCACACGCCCGUAUCGCGUAUGCUCUGGCGGAAGUGCGCCGGUUUCUGGUACCGGAUUAUCAUGACGAUAUUCGGCAGGAGCAAAUGUGGGAAAUGCAGGCAUUAAAUUCACAAAACGCGACCAGUAAUCUAACCUCAGCCCACGAUAACACGCUGAACGGUGGCUGUGGCAAUGGGCUCCCUACCAAUGGCAUGAGCAUCAGCAGCAGCGGAAGCAGUUGUAGCACCGGAAGCACCGGAAGCACCACCAACGGAACCAUGCCUACUAACAACGGCCCACUCAGCAACGGUACGGGACUGAACGGUGUGGUCAGCGCUGCUCAGGUCGUCUCGAAUGGCGUGACCGGGCUCGGGACCGGAAGUAAUGCGUCGGCCACCGUUGGCGUAGGAUCGGAACUCAACAGCAACGGUAGCACGCAGCCAUCGUCCGUCGUUGCGGAACUGCAGCAUGUGACGAACUCACUCACGCAUCAUCAACACCAUCAUAAUCAGCAGCAACAACAGCAGCAGCAAACGCAGCACCAUCAGCACCAACAGUCGCAGAAUCAGUUCCUUACGAACGAUGCGGAUAUGAGCAACCUCCUGCAACCGAUGGACGUGAACAUGACGUCGGCAAAUCAUUUUGUGAACUCCUUACCUACGAGUGACCUGGAAGCGCAAACGUUGGCGUUCGUCGAAUCGGCCAAUGCAUUCCUGCAUCCGGCAUUGCGCGGCGUGAAAGCCGUCAGCUUAGCACGUAAGCGGCCCCUGCUAGGCGGACCACGAUCGACCAUGAACCCCACCAAGCGCACCGUGAUGACGCUGAUUGCACGUGCCCGUACGGCCCAAGCCCUGCACGGUUCCCGAACGGCUCAACCGAUUGGCGAACCGAUACAGGUGAUCACUUCGCCGCUCAUUCUACAACCACCGUUGGAUUUACUGCAGCCAAAUGCGAGCGCUGGCGUGGCGAAAGAAAACAUUCUGCAGGGUGCUUAAAAGAGCCACAAAACGCACGGCUACUAAAGCAAGCACUAGAAGCACUGGCGAAGCGUCUAACAAAAGGUGUGUUUGUGUGCGUGUCUGUGGAAACUUAAACUUUUUAUGAUGGGUCAUGCACAAUCAACACGUUAUGCCUCAUCAAUCAAUUGAUAUGAAGGAAAACGGGCAUCGGAUGUGUGUGAAAACUUUGUUUUGGUUAGGGAAACCCUUCGUCAGUCGAUAUACUAAGUAAAGUUCAUCAGAACUUCACUUACAAAUACUUUCAUCAUAGUAAAGAAAAAAUGCAUUAGAACAGCUUGUAAUACCUCUUGGGCAAGAAGUUUCUACUAACCAGGCAAGAGUAGGUUCUAAAACCCCCAUCAACCAAUGCUCAGCAUCAUCAACUAUGGCAAACCCGCCCCGAUAUCCUACAAAGCAUUGCCACCAUCCAGGAAUAUUUGUACCAGAUCGACGACACAGCGGUUUCACAUUAUGCAUACACACUCACAACCAUGUUAAACCAGAUGACAAACCGUAAGUAAAAUGGAGAAAAAAUAUAUAUAAAACAAACAUCACAAAAAUCCAGACUGCACAUUGCUGCGGCAUUAAUCAUGUUGAACGACGAUUAUGUUAGUUUCUAGAGCGAAAAUUUGUGCUACCGUAUAAAUACGCAAUUGAGUACGGUUCAGAGCGCAUUAUGAUAAACAAAGAGGAAAAGCAAAGAGACAAAAUUUAUAUACAGAUAAUUUAUAUUUGAAUAUAAAGAAAAAUCCCCUUAAGCAUCAAAUAAUGAAUUGCCAUGAUACACCAUGCAGCUACUGAUUUAAAAACAACGACAAAUACAAGCAAGAGAUUAUAGUAACUAAACUUUUAUUCAACGAUAUGCUCCAUAUAAUGCACAAAGAAGUAAGUUUUAAAACGAUUCAACUAACAAAAACACUACAUUGAAUCCCCGUUGCCCAACCGAGCGCGUUUCAAGUGAUACAUAUUUAUAUAAAUUUUGUUGUGAAUAUUGUUCGUUACACUGAUAAUGUUAUCACUCUGAACCCACGUAUCAUGCCCGUUGACACAUUUUUUACGGCUUAGAGUUUUUGUAUGAAAUAUUUUACACACUAAACAUAAACAUGCACUAAUCAAAACCAAAUUUAACCCAAGCGGCAGUUUGUGAAACAUGAGAAUUGUCUCCAAAGACUAAUGGAUGAAACAAGAACGAAUAAAGGAAUAUCGAAACACUUGUUUAUAACUACCACAUUUAUGCAAAUAAAAAUGCCACAGAAAGAUUAAUUAAAAAAUGAAAAAUUCAAUUUUAGAAUUUAUUAUUUGUAUCUAUAUUUCAAACCAGCAUUUAAACCAUCGAAUAGUUAUCGAAAAUUGCUUUAUUUAAUAAAAACUGCUUUUCUUAUUUAUUUUUUUUUUACUUGCAUCGUUCCUAAGCAGUCUUAGUUCUGAUUGCAGUAGAUUUCCAGAAUGUUUUACUAUGAAUUAAAAAAACAUUUUAAUUCAAUAGUUUAAGCUUCUGUUUGGUAUACGACAUAAUCACACAGCGUGGUGGUAUUUAUAAAAACGAUUGCUAACACAACAUCUCACACAAACAUAGCUUCCCGAGGAGGGUGCUUUUGCAUAAAACAUCUUAAAAUUGCACAUGAUUAACACAAAACUCUUUAAAAAAACGAAUGUUCUCUAGAUGCUUACGUAAUUGAAACCGUUUUGAAAGACACUUGUAAACACACUAAUAUGUAAAAGAAGUACUUUAACUGAUGUCUCCCUAAACAAAAUAUACGUGUUAUCGAUGGAACUGUCGUAGUAAUCAUACUAAAUCCACAUGGAAUUGCAUGCAUGCCUGUUGUUUAAAAUCUAUCUUUAAUAAACCCAGUCGAUAAAUCGUAGAACGUGAAGCUAUUAAACAAGCUAAUAAGCAGUUAAAAAGCCGAUGUUUGGUAAAGAAAAUAAAGUGUGUCGUACAGUGAAAAUUCAGAAAACUCCUGAACAGGUAGAAAUUACUUUAAACAAUUGAAUAAAUCUCUCAAUGUCGCAACGAUAAACCAAAGAAUAAACUAAAUUUAUGAUAAACUUAUGGAAAAUGCAGCGCGCUCACAUAAAACAAUGCAUCAAUCGCCAAGAUUACAAAACCACAACUUAAAGAUAAGAUACUCAUACGAGAACGGGCAAAUAUUGCACCAGCAAUGAAACCAUUAAACCAUGAACCGAUGGAACUAAAUCGUUAAGGUAAACAAGAUGCGAAUAACUCAACAUUUCCAAUUGCAGAGUUUAAACUAGCCGAAUAAAUAUUUAAAUUUAAAUGUCAAUUAUCGCUAAGCAAAUGCAACAGUGUCCUAAUACCGUCGUCAUGCAACGAUCCACACCACGGUUGCGGUGUGUAACAACUGAAACAGCAAAUGACCGUAGCUUAAUCAGAUGCAAGCAACCAAGCAUAGGGUGCACUUUUCAUACCAAUGCACUUGCACAAUUAAACUAGAAAACUGCAUGCCACCAGGACAGGUUAAUCCCGGACAGUCCCGGGAGCGAGCACCAAAACUGGACGAUAAAGCUAAGCAUGGUUCAAAGCAAAACCUGAAGCAAGCAUUUAAGAUUUAACAAAAGCAACACAAAUAAAAUAGAAUUCUCAAUAUGUGUAUGUGUGAGUGUACGUGUACGUGUAUGUGUACUACAUGUAAGCAUUAAAAUAAAAAGCUCCUAUUGUGGCAAAGACGGUCGUUUAGAAAACCACAAAACACAAAACGAUUAUUACAACAAAAAACGCUAAACAAAUUCAACCCACUAAAGGACAUCGUGCAAUGGAGAAAGAAAGUUCAUAAACUAAAUUAAAAAAAAAACACAAAAAACACACACGGUUGGACCGGUUAAGAUAUGCCCAAAUCAUGUGCGUCAAGCUUUCAGUAUGUUCUUAUUGGAUACAAAUGUUGAUACAAUUUUUGGAUGGUUUUUUAUGGAAAGAAGGGCGAGAAAUGCAUCUGAAGUUGGUUGCAUUUCCUGCGAGGAAAGAAGCCCGUCGUUGAAGUGUGGAGUGAAAGCAUUUAAAAGGUUUUAUUUUCUUAAUUAUUCAGCAACAAAAAAAACACUAAAUUUCAAUGCUGAUUUCCAGCCAUUGAAACAAACGUGUGUUCCCAACUUCUAAGAGGAAUCAGUAUAGAGAGACAGAGAGAAAAAGGAGAAGAGAGAAGUAGAAAGUGAGUAUGGAAAUUUCAAGGUUUAGAGUAGGUCUGCAAUACAUGAAUCUGUUCUGUGCGCAAGAUGCUGAAGAUGUGAACCAUGCGCCAAAACCCCAAUGUAUGCUUAUACCAAUGAAUGAGGAAGGAAGUGAAUUUUCCCAAAAAUAAAUUAAGCACUUUUGGAAUGAGAAAAGUAAGCAGCAA